rnacentral:misc_RNA from 1 species
UCCCCGUUACCGGGGCAGUCUGAUUAGAAAAAUCCAACUAAUCAUAAGGGUUGCGCUCGUUGAAGGACUUAACCUAACAUCUCACGACACGAGCUGACGACGGCCAUGCAACACCUGUCACUGAGUUCCGGGUUACAACACACAAAAUAUAAUUUAUGUGCUCUAACCCGGCACUCACUGCUUUCGCAGUAAUUCUCAGGAUGUCAAACCCUGGUAAGGUUCUACGCUUAACAUCGUAUUAAACAACACGCUCCACCGCUUGUGCGGGUCCCCGUCAAUUCCUUUGAGUUUUAAUCUUGCGACCGUACUCCCCAGGCGGGAUGCUUAACGCGUUAGCUUCGCUACUGAACGGGUCGAUACGUCCAACAGCUAGCAUCCAUCGUUUACGGCGUGGACUAC